GCUUAGAUGUAAACCACGGCACCCAACCCUACUCACGUGCCCGCCAGAGUACUACAAGCGAAAAGCUUAAAACUCAAAGGACUUGACGGCAUUCCAACCACACUAGAGGAGCCUGUCCUAUAAUCGAUAACCCACGCUAUACCUCACCUAUGCUUGCACAAACCAGCCUAUAUACCGCCGUCUGCAGCCCGCCUUACAAAAGUACACACAGCGCGCAAACCAGUCUAACACUAGAACGUCAGGUCAAGGUGUAGCUUACGCAUAGGAAGAGAUGGGCUACAUUUUCUAACAAUAGAAAACUACUACCACCACCAUGAAACACGUGCACAAAGGAGGAUUUAGCAGUAAGCCACGCAAGACUUAAGCCUGGCUGAACAACGCUCUGGAAUGCGU
rnacentral:rRNA from 1 species